rfam:Mesocricetus auratus contig058868, whole genome shotgun sequence.
GCCAGGCGCAGUGGUGCACGCCUGUAGUCCCAGCUACUCAGGAGGCUGAGACAGGAGGAUCCCUUGAGUCCAGGAGUUCUGGGCUGUAGUGCACUAUGCCGAUCGGGUGUCUGCACUAAGUUUGGCAGCAAUAUGGUGACCUCCCAGGAGCGGGCGACCACCAGGUUUCCUAAGGAGGGGUGAACCGGUUCAGGUCGGAAACGGAGCAGGUCAAAACACAGUAACUAAUAGGCGUUAGAGGGAUGGCUCUGCAGCUAAGAGCACUUGUUACUCUUACAGAGGACCAGAGAGCUUGGCUUCC